GAGUAAUGUCUGGGAAACUGCCUGAUGGAGGGGGAUAACUACUGGAAACGGUGGCUAAUACCGCAUAACGUCGCAAGACCAAAGAGGGGGACCUUCGGGCCUCUUGCCAUCAGAUGUGCCCAGAUGGGAUUAGCUUGUUGGUGAGGUAACGGCUCACCAAGGCGACGAUCCCUAGCUGGUCUGAGAGGAUGACCAGCCACACUGGAACUGAGACACGGUCCAGACUCCUACGGGAGGCAGCAGUGGGGAAUAUUGCACAAUGGGCGCAAGCCUGAUGCAGCCAUGCCGCGUGUAUGAAGAAGGCCUUCGGGUUGUAAAGUACUUUCAGCGGGGAGGAAGGUGUUGUGGUUAAUAACCGCAGCAAUUGACGUUACCCGCAGAAGAAGCACCGGCUAACUCCGUGCCAGCAGCCGCGGUAAUACGGAGGGUGCAAGCGUUAAUCGGAAUUACUGGGCGUAAAGCGCACGCAGGCGGUCUGUCAAGUCGGAUGUGAAAUCCCCGGGCUCAACCUGGGAACUGCAUUCGAAACUGGCAGGCUUGAGUCUUGUAGAGGGGGGUAGAAUUCCAGGUGUAGCGGUGAAAUGCGUAGAGAUCUGGAGGAAUACCGGUGGCGAAGGCGGCCCCCUGGACAAAGACUGACGCUCAGGUGCGAAAGCGUGGGGAGCAAACAGGAUUAGAUACCCUGGUAGUCCACGCCGUAAACGAUGUCUACUUGGAGGUUGUGCCCUUGAGGCGUGGCUUCCGGAGCUAACGCGUUAAGUAGACCGCCUGGGGAGUACGGCCGCAAGGUUAAAACUCAAAUGAAUUGACGGGGGCCCGCACAAGCGGUGGAGCAUGUGGUUUAAUUCGAUGCAACGCGAAGAACCUUACCUGGUCUUGACAUCCACGGAAGUUUUCAGAGAUGAGAAUGUGCCUUCGGGAACCGUGAGACAGGUGCUGCAUGGCUGUCGUCAGCUCGUGUUGUGAAAUGUUGGGUUAAGUCCCGCAACGAGCGCAACCCUUAUCCUUUGUUGCCAGCGGUCCG
rnacentral:rRNA from 1 species